UUAAUUAAAAGUAAAUGCAGAAUCUCAAAGUCUUCUCUAGCUUCUUUAUUUAUUUGAAAAUUAUCAGAAUUUUAAUAAAAAAAUGGAUGAAGUUUUGGCUUUAAUAACCACCAACAAAUUUCAGGCAACCUUUAGCCGACAACAGCCACGAGAUAGCCUCAAGUCUCCGCCUUCAAUCUGAAACAAGCCAUCUGACAUUAUGUUUAGUAGAGUUCUUCUAUGUGCUGUUUUUUUUGUGGUCCUCCUCAUAAACCGUGAGCCCUGUGCUGCUAAAACAAAUCAUCUUUGUGAACAUCCUUCUUCGUGUGGCCACCUUACUAACAUUAGCUACCCUUUUCGACUACAAGGAGACCCGGAAAACUGCGGUGAUCCUAGCUAUCAGUUGACUUGCGGGAACAAUCGUGCAAAUAUUCAACGAUUCGGAUAGCUGAUGGAGAUCAAUUACUAUGUGAAGGAUAGCUGAUGUUGGUUUACAAGAAGAUAAUUGCUCUACGCUUCCUCUGUAUCAUUUGUCAGAGAACAACUUCAGUUAUGGAGAUCCAUAUAUGAUUCCAUUCAUAUACGGCACCAGAAAAAACAUAUUUCUAUGUUGCCAGAAUCCUAUGCAGUCCCCUCUAUAUAUCAGCACUAAUUCUUGUAUCACUGGAAAGGAUUCUUGCAUAUCGUCCUUGUCCUCGAAGAAGGCAUACCGGUAUGUUGUUUCUGGCGAUAUGAAGGCUUCGGAAGUAGGGGACUCGUGCCAUGUUGAUCUAGUGCUUAUGGCAACUCCGCCAGAUAACAAAAGGAGCCUGUCAUACAUUGAUAUCCAUAAAAUUCUUGUGAAUGGUUUGACGCUAGAAUGGGAUACUAUUUACUGUAGAGAAUGCAAGGCGCAAGGCUUUUGCUUAUUGGAUAAUACCACUCGUGUCGUCAACUGCUCUAACCCCUGCAACAUUUUCCAUGGGCAUCUUUCCAGUGAUUAUGUCUUGCGAUAAGACUUGUAUGUGGGGCUCCAUGUGUCUUCAUCUUUCUGAUCUAUAAAUGGAGGAGGCAUUUACCAACGUAUGACAACAUCGAAGAUUUUCUGCAAAGUCACCAUAACUUCAUGCCCAUAAGGUACUCAUACUCGGAAAUUAAAAAGAUGACCAACUAUUUCAAGGAAAAAUUGGGUGAGGGUGGCUAGGGCUCCGUAUAUAAGGGCAUGCUCCGAAGUGGGAAUUCUGUCGCAAUAAAGAUGUCAGGCAAGUCGAAAGCAAAUGGUCAGGACUUCAUCAAUGAAGUUCCCACCACAGGAAGGAUUCACCAUGGUAACAUCAUCCGGCUCAUUGGAUUUUGUGUUGAGUGUAGAUUUAAAAAGAAACUUACUCAUGAGAAUUUAUUUUCUUAUCCCUGAAUUAAUUAUUUCAAUGCCACUUCAAUUACUAGAAUCAAAGUGAUAUUAUACAGUACGAAUAUUUUUAUAGAUCUUGUCAAAUUAAUACAGAGAAUCCAAGAUGGGAGAAGAGAAAGAGAUAACCAUGUUCUUUUAAUAAAAUGAAAAACUUUUUUUUUU